CUGCAGUGAUGAGCUUCCACUUCUGGUCCGUGUUUAUGAGCACCAUGAUUUUUUAAGAAGUUCUGAGUAA
ensembl:snoRNA SNORD18 Small nucleolar RNA SNORD18